rnacentral:rRNA from 1 species
AGCGUUAAUCGGAAUUACUGGGCGUAAAGCGUGCSYWKGCGGUUCUGAAAGUCAGCUGUGAAAGCCCCGGGCUUAACCUGGGAAUGGCGGUUGAAACUACAGGACUAGAAUCUGGCAGAGGGGGGUGGAAUUCCACGUGUAGCAGUGAAAUGCGUAGAGAUGUGGAGGAACACCGAUGGCGAAGGCAGCCCCCUGGGCUGAGAUUGACGCUCAGGCACGAAAGCGUGGGGAGCAAACAGGAUUAGAUACCCUGGUAGUCCACGCCCUAAACGAUGUCAACUAGGUGUUGGGAGCGCAAGUUCUUGGUACCGCAGCUAACGCGUGAAGUUGACCGCCUGGGGAGUACGGUCGCAAGAUUA